rfam:Triticum aestivum genome assembly, contig: Triticum_aestivum_CS42_TGACv1_scaffold_222350_3B
AUGCUACUCCUUCCGUCCAAAAAAACUUCUCCCAAACUUGUCUCUUAAAUUGAUGUAUCUAGCACUAACUUGAUGCUAGAUACAUUCAUUUAAGGGACAAGCUUUUUCGGACGGACGGAGUAUUUA